AUGUGACGUGGGGGAACCUGACCGCAAUGCCGCGUGAAUGAUGAAGGCCUUAGGGUUGUAAAGUUCUUUCACCUGUGAAGAUAAUGACGGUAGCAGGAGAAGAAGCCCCGGCUAACUCCGUGCCAGCAGCCGCGGUAAGACGGAGGGGGCUAGCGUUGUUCGGAAUGACUGGGCGUAAAGGGCGCGUAGGCGGUUUUUUAAGUGAGGCGUGAAAGCCCUGGGCUUAACCCAGGAGGUGCGUUUCAUACUGGAAGACUUGAGUACGAGAGAGGAAAGUGGAAUUCCUAGUGUAGAGGUGAAAUUCGUAGAUAUUAGGAAGAACACCAGUGGCGAAGGCGGCUUUCUGGCUCGUAACUGACGCUGAGGCGCGAAA
rnacentral:rRNA from 1 species